rnacentral:rRNA from 1 species
ACCUACGGGGGGCAGCAGUGGGGAAUAUUGGGCAAUGGGCGCAAGCCUGACCCAGCAACGCCGCGUGAAGGAAGAAGGCUUUCGGGUUGUAAACUUAUUUUAUUCGGGACGAAACAAAUGACGGUACCGAAUGAAUAAGCCACGGCUAACUACGUGCCAGCAGCCGCGGUAAUUCCAGC